rnacentral:pre_miRNA from 1 species
UCGGGAAGGCAGUUGCGGCGGAUUGUGACGUCAGACGAGUCCGUCCAACUCCUUUCCGUCU